ensembl:lncRNA
AACAUUUGCACAGUCAGGGUGGUACCAAUUCAGAAAAAUACUCCUGCCAAGGAGUAAGAGAAAGUGGAAAUGGAGAGAAGCCCUUCUUCCUCUCUACAGUCAAAAAGAAAGGGCAACCUUAAUUUGUGACCAAAUUUUCCUUGCUUUAUGUGGUUUUGUGUUAGAUUAGCUUUGCUGUGGCACUUAUCUGUUGUGGAAAAGCAGGGUGCUACUUUUCACUCCCUGCCAUAGUUUCCUGCUCCUUUUCCUGCAGUUAGCCAGUUUGGAGAACCAAAGCAGAAAAAAGCAAACGCUCAAGAAAAGUGACUCAUUUUCUGCCACUCUCAAGCCCUGCUCCAGCUCUGGGAAGGGUCAGCAGGUUGUGUCCUGGGGAAGAUGGAGGGCAGCAAAACCAACCAUUCGGGCAGCAGUUCUCCAUAAGAGCACCCUUAGCAAUUUGCUGUGCGCAGUGAAGAUCAGAAUCCUUCCAAUACUAAUGAAGAUUCAAUAUUCUCCUAUUUUCCAAGACUUUUCUAGGAAAGUAAAAGGGACCAAGUCCCUGCGAGAUCCUGCAGCAUCUUUUACUCGGCCGGCUCCCGCGGCGGACGCUCUCCCUCCUGCCCCUUCUCUCCGCCACAGGCUCCUCCGCUGCUGUGCCCUGCCUGCCUCGGUGCAUCAGAGACGAGGUUGUAACCUCUGAGGAAUUAAACAACUGUUAGCUAAACAGGAGAUGCUGUCAUAUUAAGAAACUUUCUCGAAGAUGUCUUACUGUUGCUAACGCCACUAGUAGCCAUGCUUUGAUCACUAGCACAAAUAGGCUCUUUGGUAAACAUCGGUUCUGAAGACUUCUUCUGGCUCGGCCUGAAUAACAGGAUAAUUAAAGUACCAACGAUCGUGUCAUGCUAUGCUGAUGUUAAUUAUCCCCUCUUGCAAACUUCAGUGAAGCAAGGGUGGAAAAUGUAGCAGAAGGACAUCCUUGACCUGCGGAGAACUGGUGCAAAAAGAUAUCCGAUCAUUUUUCUUUCCUGAAGACAGAGUUAUUUCACUUAAAUCCAUUAGGUGGAGAUUUUAACUGAACUGCAGUAAGAACCUGAGAGACUGAAAAUGCCUAUAGAGACAUUUAGUUUAAUUAAUUGUCAGCUAAAGUGAUCCAGCUUAAGUUUAGAAACGGGACUUUUUUUCCCCAAAGCAUUUAACGAAUAUAGGCCAUGGUAAAAACCGCUGAAGCUUCUGAGGGGCUUGCUGCUGGUGGUGUCAAGUAGCGUAUUUUGCUCUGCAGCGUGACGGGGCUCAGGACAGGCACGGUGUCUGCUGGGCGCCGCGGCUCGGCUCACAGCUAAGCGGAGGUCGACCGGUCGUCCCCAGCUGCGUGUCCGUACACCGAGUCCUAAGCAUAAGAGUUUCUUGGGCAGCGCAGCCGGUCGCCGUGGGGCUGGCAGCAAGGCCCUCGGGCUCCCGGCCCCGUGGGCUGACUCCGGGCUUCAGCGGAGACCUGUCCCUUGAAAGCACUAGUAAGCAGGGAGCAAAUCUGUUGAAGCGUCGGUGUCGUGUUUCCAAGAGCGGUGGAGAGGUGACUUUGUAAAUUGUUGUAAAACGUUAUUAAGCGGUGUCUCCCUCAAAUCUGAAAUUCAAACGCUGUGUUAAAAUGGAGAGGUAUUUACUCAGUCUGAACUCUUAAUUAUUUUUUUGAGUGUGCCUAGGGCUAGGGCUGAGCGCUGUUUCGUGGUCCGUGUGUUGCAAUGAAAAUUAAAUAGUAUUUCUUUCUCAGUGACACCGAACGGUAUAUACAUACCGAUGAUGACACUGAUUCUCCUCUCGUUCCCACUGAUGCCAAUCACAAGUACCUCGGUUAAGUCCGUAGUCUCUGUGAAUUUAAUGACCUUUACAAAGACAACAUCAGCACCAGCCCCUUGUAUGAUGUCAAUGAAAUGCCAAAAGUCGUUAUGUGCUGCCAUCCUAGCAAGAGAGAUGUAUUUUGUUUGAGUAAGUUACUAUAAAAAUAUCAGGUGUAAAUGUGCAAUGGAAUGUUAUCUCCCUAAUAUUUUGGUGACAAGUUUUAUAUACCGUUCUACUUUUUAAAUCUAAUGUGAUUAAAAAAAACAUGCAUUUAAAAAUUUUAACUGUAACUCAGGAAGCAUAAUUUACCUAACCACUCAAAAAAAAAAAAAAGGUAAGUAUUUCCCUGCUAGAACAGAAUAUGCUGGCAGUAGCGCAAAAAUCAGUAACCUAAAAGAACGCGUUUUGUGAGAUGCUUGCCAAAGAGAUGUUUCAGUACUGAGGUAUAUAGAGCCCCAGUAGCAGACCAGUUUCAGAAGGGUCAUUGUAGUGCUCUGAGCAUCAAAUAAAGCAGCUCAAAGCUCAGAUUUUCA